UCUGUAUACUCUUUAAGUUAGCCUUAGCUUUGAUACUCUAAUCAAAGUUAACCCAAAUUCUUACAAAAAAGUCUGAUGAAACUUUUUGGAUAAGUUUCUUUCGCUUAGUACUUAGUAAAAAAAACCAUUGCCUAUUUUCUGGGGCUUGCGAUGCUCAAGGACAUCAAGACUUCCCAAAGUUCACUCUUUAAAAUAAAUCUGACACUUAAAUAUUGUUUUUUUUUUCAAAAAUUAAUACAUUGACACACAAAAUACAUUAAUGUGCCAGUCUUGUAAAGAGGCCUCCCCAAAAUCUUGGUGCAUGGGCUAUGCCAUCUAUUGUAUCAUAAUGGGAUUCUUCUCCCUCUGCUCAAAUUUCUAUGGAAUGCUCUUCUACACCUACAUAGUUCUGCAGCCAAAGGUUUCGACUCUAAACCUGGUCCAUGUCGUGAACAGUACGACCCAGCAUUAUGUGUUGAAUGUCAAGGAAUCAAGUAUCGAUAUUCGCCCUUUAGAAUAUGUAGCUCUAACUGUCGGUUGUGUGUAUUUUAUAUUCGAAAUUUUAUAUAUUUUGGCAGGAUCUUUUAUGCUUGUGGGCGUUAUAAAGGAACGUCAAGAGUUGUUCUUCGUUGGGAAGACUUUCAGUUACUUUUGGCCCAUUUUUUAUUUUUAUUUAAUAUUUCCAUUGACCAUUCAUAUCAUAGCCAUAACAAAAAUAAGAAAGCAUAUUAAAAGGCAGUGGCCCUAGUAUCUUAAAAUUACCAUUUUAGGAUGUGUUUAUGAGUUCAAUAUUUUGGCAUUCACCUCUGAAAAGUUUCGUUUUUAAGGGCAUACAAAUUUCAUUACCAUCAGACCCUCCUAUUAUUCGUAUGGCCUGUUCCGCUGGGAGACGACACUGCUGGAGGCGAUGUCACUGAUUCCAUAUCUGCUCAAUUUAGCGCCGGUGCACGCGAGUGGCUCCUCAGACCCGAUACUCCGGACUUGCCAUGGAGAUCCGUGAUCCGUGAGUCGAGGCAAGUUGAGUCGCCUCAAGAUUGGCGGCACGAACCGCCGAAUGCAUAGAGCUGUUCCAGCCACUGUUCCAUGGAAUGGCUUGGAAGUCUACCGUUACUAAUAGUGCAUACUGUGAGCCCCAUGCAUUUCUCCAUGAGAUUGCCAUUCCGUGUAUCACACAUAAUUCCAUGUGAAUCCAUGUGAUAACUGUGCUUUCGCCGUGUUCGAGUCGCAGCUAAAAGUGAUAAUUGCCAGCUCAUUAUCAGCGUUUUGCGUGAGCAAUUCGAGCCGGGCCAGAAGAUGCAGUGCAUCUAUCCACCACCGCCCAGCAGACACGUCUGCUGCAUGCCCAUAACGUACAUUAUGCAUUAGCACUUGCAUAUAUUUCACAUUUGCGAUUUCAGACUCAGUUGUGGUCUGAAAACAUAAUCUAAACACUUGUUCUUCAGCUCUCUAAUUAAUUUAGUGGCCUAGGGUGGUGGUGGAUGGCCUGAAUUAAUGGGCUUAAAUACGAUAAGAUUAAUUAAAUAUA